AACAGCCAACUCUCGACGUGUUUUCUCACCUUAUUGCGUGACUCAAGCACGCAAACCCACAACACGCAUCGGAUCCACUGGGAAGAUUACGCCGUGUGUUGCACUUGCAACGUCUAUCCUCAUCUCUCCUCUACGAGCGUCGGCGUGUCAGGGGUGCGUGUCUCUCCAUUGUGAAGGGGCCGCCGGAAUCACCGUCUCUCUCUCUCUCUCUCUCGACUGGCGUGCGCGUGAGCGCGCUUCCGUGUCUCUCCUCAGCUCAUAUUUUAUUGUUUCCUUUUGAACUCCUUUUCGUUUUUUUUUUUACCGUCUCUUUAUUGGUGUGAGCGCCGUCUUUCCUCCUGUUUCCUGCACGAGCUGGCCAUGCAGGCAGCUCGUCUCCCGACUCGGAUUGCCACCGGCGACGGUGAGGAUGCGCCGCAGCCUCCACCUGUCCACGCCCCGGCGCCCCCCGCCGCCACGGACGAGCAAGUGACGGAUCAACCCCAGCAGGCUGUAGGCGAGGCGACGACGCCGACGGACCGGGCUGGGUUUCAGCCGCCCUCCGCCGAGGCCCUGGCUGCUCGGCAGAGCCGCAAUAGCGCCGGCGCGGAGAAGAUGGGCGGCGGUCAGCGGCUGAGAGACCACACGACGGCCCAGCGCCGCCUCAUGCAGGAUUACCGCACGUUCCAAAAGAACAUGGCCGAGGGCACCAGCUCCAACAUCACCGCGCUGCCUGUGGAUGGUGACUUCUUCCACUGGCACGCCGUCAUCUCGGGCCCCUGCGACACACCGUGGGAGGGCGGCCUCUUCAAGCUGGACCUAAUCUUCGGCGACGACUAUCCGUUCUCGCCGCCGAAGGUCCGCUUCCGCACCAAGGAUGUCUUUCAUCCCAAUGUAUACGUUGACGGCAACAUCUGUAUGGACACACUGAAGAGCAGUUGGCAAUCAUCGCUUAACCUAGAGGCGCUGCUGAUAUCGAUUCAGUCCCUUCUGUCAGACCCAAACCCACUCUCUGCCGCCAACGGGGCGGCGGCGCGGCUCCUGACGGAGAACCGUAGCGCCUACGACGAGAAGAUACGCGCCUUGGUGGAGGAAAGCCUUGAGCAGAGCUUUUCCAUGGAUGAUGAUAGCGAUGACGCGGAGGUGGAUGAGGGGGACGUGUAGUCUCCCUCCCGCACUGCGACAGGUGCGGUGUGUCAGCAUGUACGUGUCUUGUGCAUGCAUGUGUGUUGUGUGUGGUUCGUUCCCUGGUUGUGCUUCUCAUUUCUUUUCCGUUCUUUUAUUGUUUUCGUGCUCUUUUCUUUAUGUGUGUGUGUGUGUGCACCCCGUUAUGCCUCUUCUCCCCUCUGCCAUGUCCCUCUUUCUGUCGUCCUGGCCCUAUCCCGCCCCGGCUCUUUUCCAUCCCCCGCCUCCACCCCUCCGUGACGCGCUCCUGUGUCUUCUCUUCGAAAAAAGGCAAACAUACAGUUGUGCUUUAGCUUGUUGUAGCCCCUCCCACCUUUCCUCUCCCCUCUUCUCUCUCGCUUCCUUCUCCAGCUCACUUACAUUUUCCUCGCGCCUACUCUUCUCUGUGCUCUGUGCUUCUUGUUGUUUUCGUUUUGCGUGUGGUACGUCUCCUCGCCUCCAUCUCCCGCCUCGUGCUCACACCGCACUAUUAGCGGGAUGGGCACACGCACACACCGAGAAGGAGAGGGUGGUGGGACGGCUCCCCUAUCGCUGCGGUCUGCGUGCCUGUGUGUAUGCGUGUAUGUGCCUGGUUUUCCCACUUACACCAUCUCCGCUCCCUCCAUCCUCCCCUCUCUUUGCUUUAUCAAUCGAUGCUGACCCUGAGAAUAGUGCGUCUUGCUGCUGCUGCUGCUGCUGCUCUCUUUCUCUCUGUGUUUCUUGGAUAGCCAAUCAUAUUGUUUUUGUGCCUCCGGGUAUCCCCAUCCCCAAUUCUGUCUAUUCACCCGUCCCCCUCUUCCCAUCCCCUCCCCUCCCCCCUCACACACACCCCUCUCCCAGAUCACUGCCUCCGUUGUUGCGUUUUUGUGCAGCUAAUGUGUGCCGUUUUGCGUGUGUGUGUAUGGGGAAGAGGAACCGUUUCACGCCGCAUUCUAGUCAUCUCCUCAUACAUCCCGACGGUUUGCGUGUGUGUAUAUAUAUAUCUUGCCACCCCCCCCUGCUUGCUUACUCGACGGCUUCAUCGCAUCUGCAUAUCACUGUCUCUCCUCUCCUCCCUCCUUCUCCUUUUCUCUGUGUGUGCCUUGUGCGUGUGUGUGUGUGUGCGUGUGCCGGUGCGUAGGCAACACGGCGAGUGGGACGGGUGUUGUUGCUGCUGGCGUCUUCGUUUUUUCGUGGUUUCUGUGACGACAAGGAGGUUUUCUGUACGCCUGGGCUUGAUUCGUCGUCUUGCAUCGUUGCUCGUGUGCGUGGCGUCGUUAUAUUUACUUUGCGUGGCAUGUCUCCCCGGACUUGCUUGGUAUGCUUCGAUUUUUUUUUUGUUUUGGGCCGCUCUGAGUCGUGCGGGGAUGCCUUGCUCAUCGCUUCGCAUCACCCUGCUCCUGCUCCUUCUCCUUCCGAUAUGGGUGCGUGUGCGUGUCUGUGUGGGUGUGUGGGUGGGGAGGGGGCGUUCUCGGGCCAUGGCGGGCCCGGAGCACAAGCGGGAAAGGACGGGAAUGAAGAAUAAAAAAAAAACAAGCAUGUGCGGCGCGCGUGUAAGUGUGUCUGUGUGUCUGUUUCUCGUCCGCUUCAUCGACGUUGAUAUGCUCACCGGGGCUGGCGGAUGUGGUGUGGGGUCGGUGCCGACACAACAGAGUGGAAAGGAGAGGCGGGCAGGGAAUCAUGCAAGGUAAAUGGGCAAAACUAGCAGAGGAAAACGAGAGAAAGUUUGCGAGGUACCGUCGUGGAUAGAAAAGGUGGGGCGUGACGGAGCGGAGAGGAAGGGGAGUGCCAGCCAAUGUCUUCCUACCGGCGCCUCCUCUGAGUAUGAUUGACGGAAGAUGCUUUUCACCGGCUAGCGCGCGUUGAGCUGGUUUCGCUGCUGCUCUUGCCAAUUUGCCGUGCUCUAGCGCUUGCUCUCGUAUUUUAUUUCCUCAC
rnacentral:misc_RNA from 1 species